rnacentral:lncRNA from 1 species
GAAAGCUGAAUAGUAAUUUCAGAGAUCACACAAGGCUGAGGAGACUCAACUAGAUGGAAUACUCAUCAUGGAUAUCUUUCUAAAGUGUUUACUUUUAUGAAAUUCUUACAGUGCUACAAAUCAUAAGGAUUUGAUGUGUAAGUUACAUUUGUAAUUUUCAGAAAUUUCAUAUUAUGACCUUAGACAUUUAAUCUUUGGGUACCUGGACAAUUUCUAAAUUAAAAAAAAAAACAUAAAACAGUAUUCAUUAAUCUAACAUUAAUUUACUGUUAUCUUUUAAAUAACUAGAAAUUAUAAAAUAUUUAAAUGUUUUUUACAUAUUAUUUAUGAUUAUUAUUGCAACUCAAAAUCAUUAAAAUUACAAAAAGUAGUCAUUUUUUAUAAUAGCCAGUUAUUGAAUUUCUGUUCUCUAGUUUUCCCCUGUGCUUGGAGAGAACAGUUUAAUUAAAUAUAGUAAGUAUUAAAUAUGAUAAGUAUAAAUAGUAUAAGGAGUUAACUAUUCUAGUUCAAUAAUUCAAUAUUUAAUAUGUAUAAAAAUAUCAUAUUUGUUUCUAAAGUUAUUGUAGUUUAUGAAUAAGAUUGAUUCCAUAGGAUAUGUAUUAUUUAACAUUCUGACAAUUAUAUUUUAAAAUGUAGUCAAAACUUUAAAUUUAUUACCUAUUUAAAUAUUUAUGUGUAUAUUCAUGCCAAAAAAAGACAUAUUAAUAAAUUGUAUGCUGAAAGUUACUACAUGAGUAAUAUACAAAAGGAAUAAAAUCAAAAUAUAUUUUUUCUGUAAAUGAGUAUUUUGUGCCCAGAUUUGUAAAGUUUCCUCCUUAGACCAAAAAUAUUCUUUUAAUCUCUGUAUCCUUUUAUAUUCUUUAAUAAUUAAAUAUCAUUAUUUUUUACUUUAAAAAAGUUAAGUUCCUGAUAAUCACUUUUGUUUAUUGUAUAGUUUUGGCAAUGCUACUUUAAAAUAUUUCUUGUCUCUAGAUAUUUAUGAUUAAAUCUUGUCUACUUUGAUAAUAUUUUUAUGUGCCUUUUCCAAAUUUAGACCCUGAAUUCAGAAUAAUAAAUCUACUACUAUA